GAGAAAACUGGGGGGAAUUUUAUCAGCUCAAGUUGGACUCCCCCACUAACUCUCUUUCUCUUUUCCUCCCUCCUUUCCCCUUUUUUUCCUCUCCCCCCCCCCUCUUUCUUUCUCUCUCUCUCUCUUUUCUUUUUUUUUUUAAAGGGAAGGCAUUAUUUCUGAAAGAACCAGGAUGGCGCCAGCCGGCUCAGUAUUCAGAGACAGCUGCGGCGAGACACAACUUAAGGAGGUUCUCGUGUCAUCAGCAAGAACAGGGAGGAGCCUGUCCGCCAACGAGGAGGGGACAAAGAGAAAACUUAAAAAUAAGGAGUGUUUUCUUGAUUAACUAGAACAGGAGUCUAUUUACUCAGAAGUAAGUCCUCCGGAGUUAAUUUAUUUCCUGGGGAAAUAGGACAUGAGAUCUACGGAACACUGAACAAAAAAAGGGGGUUUCUACAUCAACUUUAAGGAAGCGAAAGGAGGUGAUCCCAAUGCUCCGGCUUAAUUAACCCGUGGACCGACCUUUACAGAGCUUUCUUCUUUUCCUCUACAUUAAUACAGAUUUGAGCCCAGGCCCUGUUGUAUUUCAGUGAUCAAAACAACCAGCGGAGAUAUUUGCUUAGAUGGUAAUUAAAUACUUUCUGGUCACGUCCUCCUCGGAGGCCCGGAGUUCUGGCCUAAAUCGCUUUCUUGAGCGCAUGUCUCCAUAACCCCUCAAUACGCUGAUUCCAAGAUAUCUCCGACGCCCGGUCAUUCCUGCAGUCAAAAUUCCUGCAGCUUAAAUUUGCAGUCCUAGAAACACGGGCACGCAGGAAAACCCCACUAAACAAAGCAAGACUUUGAACUAAGCCACAGUUACACCACGCGUGUGUUCUGGAGCGCAGCUUGGACGCUUCAAAUACAGUAACAGCAAACUUUUUAAAGGAAAAAAAACUUUGAAAUACAGGGAACUGGAAAUUGAAGAGAAAAACAGUGGGAAACAUGUAUGAAUAAAAACACUGAAUAUGUGUAUUGCUCUUUUAAA
rnacentral:lncRNA from 1 species